rnacentral:lncRNA from 1 species
UCCGGUCUUGAAAACCGCUAUAGUUCUAGGAACUAUCGAGGGUUCGAAUCCCUCUCUCUCCUUUUGCUUAUUGAAUACGUUUGUUUCUUUCAUUUUUUUUUCUGUCCCUUAUCUUUCUUUCAUAAAAAGGAAUGAAUGGCUCGGCUAGAUGGAAUAACCGAGCCAGAACAGAAAAAAAGUAGAACAGGUAUAAAUAAGAAAAUCUUAGUUAAGAGGGUUCAUGUAAAGAACAGGUUCCAAAUCACGAUCGAUUCCCUUUUCAAAACCUACUGCAGCAGCUCAGGCUCUUCCUGCAUGCCAUAAAUGGCCCACAAAAAAGAAGAAUCCUAGAACAAAAUGAGAAGUUGAUAACCAACUUCUAGGAGAGACAUAAUUAACUGCAUUGAUCUCGGUAGCUACGCCACCCAUGGAAUUUAAAGAGCCUAAAGGAGCGUGGGUCAUAUAUUCUGCUGAGUGUCGUUCUUUCCAAGGUUGUAUGUCUUUUUUCAACCUACUCAAGUCCAAACCGUUGGGGCCCCUUAGAGGUUCUAACCAUGGAGCACGAAGGUCCCAAAAACGCAUAGUUUUCCCUCCAAAGAUAACCUCCCCAGUUGGGGAACACAUUAGAUAUUUACAUAAACCCGUGGGUCCUUGAGCGGACCCCACAUUAGCUCCAAGACGCUGGUCUCUAACUAGAAAAGUAAAUGCUUGAGCUUGAGAAGCUUCUGGCCCGGUGGGUCCAUAAAACUCACUCAGAUAAGCUGUAUUAUUGAACCAUACAAAACAACAAGCGAUAAAACCAAAGACAGAUAAAGCAGCUAAACUAUAAGACAAGUAAGCUUCUCCAGACCAUACAAAUGCACGGCGAGCCCAUGCAAAGGGUUUGGUUAAAAUAUGCCAAAUUCCACCAAAUACACAAAUAAAACCCAACCAUACAUGCCCACCAAUUAUAUCUUCUAAAUCAUCUACACUAACAAUCCACCCUUCUCCACCAAAAGGAGAUUUUAGUAAAUAACCAAAUAUAACACUGGGACUAAGGGUCGAAUUGGUAAUUUUUCUUACAUCUCCCCCCAGGGGCCUAGGUAUCUUAUACACCGCCAAAAUAAAGAGCCUUGAGUACUAGAAGAAAAGCACCUAGACCUAACAAAAUUAAGUGAAUACCCAAAAUUGUAGUCAUUUUAUUUCUAUCUUUCCAGACAUAAUCAAAGAAUGGAAAAGAUUCCUCAAGAGUCUCGGGUCCCAGAAGCGCGUGAUAAAUGCCACUGAAGCCUAAGACUGCGGAGGAAAUUAGGUGAAGUACGCCAGAUACAAAGUGCGGAAAAGUAUCUAGAACUCCCCUCUGGCCCUACUCCCUAACCUAGAGUAGCUAAGUGUGGAAGUAAAAUCAACCCUUGUUCAUACAUGGGCUUUUCUGGUACGAAAUGGGCCACUUCAAAUAGGUUCAUUGCUCCGUCCUAGAAUACGAUUAAUCCGACAUGGGCUACAUGAGCUCCAAGUAGUUUACCGGACAAAUUGAUAAGUCUGGCAUUCCCAACCCACCAAGCAAAGCCGGUGGUUUCUUGGUCACGACUAGCUAAAACGAAAGUUCCAUUAAAGAGCGUUUCCACGUGGUAGAACCUCCACAGGGAAUAUAAGAUUUUCAUGAGGCUGAUCCUGAGCUGCCAUCCACGCACGAAUACCCUUGUUUAAAAUUCAGGAUCUUCUGCUGCACGGAUUUCCUAGGAAACAAAGUCAUAGGCACGUAAGUUCAGAGCCAAGCCAACUACGCCAAUAGCACUCAUCCAUAAACCGAUGACGGGUACAAAUAGCAUAAAGAAAUGUAACCAACGUUUAUUGGAAAAAGCAACACCAAAGAUUUGGGACCAAAAGCGGUUAGCAGUGACCAUUGAAUAAGUUUCUUCAGCUUGAGUUGGGUUAAAAGCACGGAAGGUAUUUGCACCAUCACUGUCCUCAAAUAGAGUGUUUUCUACGGUCACUCCAUGAAUAGCGCAUAGCAGAGACGCACCUAAUACUCCGGCAACUCCCAUCAUAUGAAAUGGGUUCAACAUCCAAUUAUGAAAUCCUUGGAAGAAAAGGAUGAAUCCAAAUAUCGCUACUACGCCAAAACUCGGCGCAAAG